GAGAAUGCAGACAUGAGUAGCGAUUAACCAGAUGAGAAUUCUGGUCGCCGUAUACCCAAGGUUUCCUGGGCCAGGUUCGUCCUCCCAGGGUUAGUCGGGACCUAAGGCGAGGCCGUAAGGCGUAGUCGAUGGACAGCAGUUCAAUAUUCCUGCACCGGCUUGGGGUUAGUUGACCGUGACGCGGUGAGAAAGGUGGCUAAGUCAUCGAAAGACAGAGCCUAGACUUCGGUCGAAGCGUACCACUGGACGAUCCGUCGAGAAAAGCGAGUUAACAUGUGCCCCUAGUCGCCCGUACCGCAAACCGACACAGGUGG
rnacentral:rRNA from 1 species